rnacentral:rRNA from 1 species
UUAGCAUGGAAUAAUGGAAUAGGACAAUGGUUCUAUUUGUUGGUUUCUAGGACCGUUGUAAUGAUUAAUAGGGAUAGUUGGGGGCAUUAGUAUUCAAUUGUCAGAGGUGAAAUUCUUGGAUUUAUUGAAGACUAACUUCUGCGAAAGCAUUUGCCAAGGAUGUUUUCAUUAAUCAAGAACGAAAGUUAGGGGAUCGAAGACGAUCAGAUACCGUCGUAGUCUUAACCAUAAACUAUGCCGACUAGGAAUCGGACGAUGUUAAUUUUUAAUGACUCGUUCGGCACCUUACG